AUUGGCCUUGGAGGUCAGUUCAUCAUGAUCAUGCAAAUUGUCAUGACCAUUGAUCAGUGGUCAAGAGCACCAUUCACAGAGAGUUGGGGAAUGGCUGCAAUCACAGCAUUGUAAGAUGGCGAAACAUGUACACUUAGACCCUGUUACGUGCCUGUGUUGGUGGGUUAUCUGUUUCUUAAUGUGUGUAUGCAAAUUCACCUCAAUAGCUAUUUGGUUAAAAGGUCGGGCAUGUGUGUGAAGUGCGGAGCAAGUAGGGGUGAGCUGCCGAUUAUUUUGGGAAGCCUUCUUUUCUCCUGUGUUUGUAGACCAGGGAGGUCAGACUGUGUUGUUUCUUUCUUUUCUUUUCCAUAAACAGGUCAGAGGGGAACCGAAGAUUAGGUUGAGUUUUGUUUGUUGUGUUGGCCUUAGCUCACCCCGAAAUUAUACACUCCCACUACUGUGAGUGCCAUUGUUGUCAAUAAACUAUUGUUAAAAGUCCGAUGCUGUGGCUGUGUCUGUUUUUUUUUUUUUUUUUCUGCCUGUCCCAUUUGGUUCUUUAGCCAUCAGAAUUGUUGUCUGAAGACCAACAAGGAUACCCAAUGGAUUUACUUUGCCAAAUGGAUCUUCGUGGCUUUGCCGUAUUGGUCCAUUUGGUCGAUCUUUGUUUUUAUUAUUUAUUAUAUUUUAUUUUCAGAUUUUACAGACGGGACAGACAUGAGUGAGAGAUAGGAAAGGGAGAAAGAAAGAGGAAGGAAAGGAAAAACAGAAGGGGAGAGGGACAGUGAGAAAGGGGGGGAGAAAAAAAAUAAAAAAUCUCCUGGAUCACCUGUUGAGAGAAGAAUAGAAAACAAGCAAAAAAAACAAAAAAAACAAAGCAACAUACUAAACACAACACCAUCACAUUAAUCUAGCUAAGUGUAAACAGCAGUAAAUACUAAAUAUUCAAUGUUGUUGUGCAGCACGCAGGACAGAUGUGCUUCGAAGUAGCAGCCAAGAAAGGUGUAAUUUAAGUCUACGAGCAGUGAACACCCGUGUGCAUACCUGUGUGGAUCAGCGCGCUUGUAUUCCAAAGGUUGGCUGUUUGGGCGUGGGAAGUUACGGGACACCCCGCUCUUGUUACGGUCAUUUUGAGCUGGGUCGUAACAUGAUUUGGGGGCUCGUCCUUGUUGUCUUGUUUUUGUGGUAUGUGGUUUGUUCGGUC
ensembl:lncRNA